AUUUAGUAGUAGCCUUACAAAGCAGUAGAGAGAAAUUGCCCAAAGUGGGAGGAAUUUUAUACUAUCACACUUGCACCACAUCAUCAAUAACAGAUCAAUUAUAUUUUUUUUUUCAAAUAAGUACAAUAAAAAUAUGUUUUUACAAUCAUGAUGGGACAUAUAUCCCUAAACGGAGAUAUUUGAUUGGUUUGUUAUGCAACGUCACCAAUAUAUAUGCCCGUUGCAUUCUAGAAUUUUUCCCAAAGUGGAGAGGAGAAGGUGCUUAAUUUUG
rnacentral:lncRNA from 1 species